rnacentral:rRNA from 1 species
GAUGAACGCCGGCGGCGUGCCUAAUACAUGCCAGUCGAGCGAACGGACGAGAAGCUUGCUUUUCUGAUGUUAGCGGCGGACGGGUGAGUAACACGUGGAUAACCUACCUAUAAGACUGGGAUAACUUCGGGAAACCGGAGCUAAUACCGGAUAAUAUUUUGAACCGCAUGGUUCAAAAGUGAAAGACGGUCUUGCUGUCACUUAUAGAUGGAUCCGCGCUGCAUUAGCUAGUUGGUAAGGUAACGGCUUACCAAGGCAACGAUGCAUAGCCGACCUGAGAGGGUGAUCGGCCACACUGGAACUGAGACACGGUCCAGACUCCUACGGGAGGCAGCAGUAGGGAAUCUUCCGCAAUGGGCGAAAGCCUGACGGAGCAACGCCGCGUGAGUGAUGAAGGUCUUCGGAUCGUAAAACUCUGUUAUUAGGGAAGAACAUAUGUGUAAGUAACUGUGCACAUCUUGACGGUACCUAAUCAGAAAGCCACGGCUAACUACGUG